rnacentral:rRNA from 1 species
AGAAGACGUUAGCAUAAUAGUUUAGGUAACAAGAUUGGGUAAUUAAAUCAAUAUAAGGGAUAUUGUUCAAGUAUGAGGUACAAAAAGAAUAAGUUUAGCAAUAGAGUAGUACCGUGAGGGAAAGCUGAAAUAAUUGAAAAUUUGUUAUAGGAGAAGUAGGCUAGGUGCUGUACCUUUUGUAUCAGGGUUUAUUAAAUUGAUGAGUAAAUACUAAAGUCUCGAUAUAAGGAGGGCUACCAGGGUAUGGGAGUUAAGGUUGCAAACUUACAUUUAAUACUUAGGUAGUAACGAAAUGUUAACCGAUCCUUGAGGUUUCUAGUUCUUUGAGAAACGAAUUUAAUUCGGAGUUGUGAGAAUUGAUGGAUUUAGUCCUAUAAUUUAAAACAGCAGAAACAAUUCGGGGGAUAAGCUCUGGAUUGUUUUUAAAACUAAGAAUCACGUAAAAUUGGUAGGCUUGAAAGUAGCCAUCUGCGAAAGGAUGUUAUAAUUUAUUUUAGUGAGGUUAAAUUUUGUUUAGUUUAGUUAAGGUAUCAAGGAAUCAAUUAGAAUUUUAUAGUUGAGGUAUAAUGAUGAAAUUAGUACAAUAAUCUAAUAGGUUUAAAAUUCUAGUAAGGAACUCGGCAAAUAUAAUGCUCGCCUGUUUAUCAAAAACAUCGCCUUUUGAAGGAAUAGAAGGUCUAACCUGCCCACUGAAUUAUUUAAAGGGCCGCGGUAUUUUGACCGUGCAAAGGUAGCAUAAUCAUUAGUCUUCUAAUUAAAGGCUGGAAUGAAUGGUUGGACGAGGUAUUAGCUGUCUCACUAGUAAUAUUGGAAUUUAGCUUUUUAGUCAAAAGGCUGAAAUAUAAUUGGAGGACGAGAAGACCCUAUAGAGCUUUAUAUUUAAAGUGUUUAUCUUUUUUAGUAGGAUUUUAGGUUUAUGCGGUAAAUAUUUCGUUGGGGUGACGGGGAGAUAAAUUAAACUCUUUUUAGAAAUUAACACGGAUGAGUGAUUAUUUGAUCCAUAAAUAAUGAUUAUAAGACUAAGUUACCUUAGGGAUAACAGCGUAAUCUUUUUUGAGAGUUCUAAUCGACGAAAAGGGUUGCGACCUCGAUGUUGGACUAAAGGUUAUUCUUGGGUGUAGCAGCUCAGGGUUUAGGUCUGUUCGACCUUUGAAUCUUUACAUGAUCUGAGUUCAGACCGGCGUAAGCCAGGUCGGUUUCUAUCCUCAAUCAGUGAGAAUGUUUUAGUACGAAAGGACCGAAUAUUUGGGAUAAUCUUAAUUAGUGAAUUCUAUUAACA